ACCUCAAGUCAUGUGAGAGUACCCGCUGAACUUAAGCAUAUCAAUAAGCGGAGGAAAAGAAACUAACAAGGAUUCCCCUAGUAACGGCGAGUGAAGCGGGAAGAGCACAAAUUUAAAAUCUACCUGGUUUUUAGGUCGAGUUGUAAUUUGAAGAUACGUUUUUGACGUUCUGGGUUGGACUAAAUCCUUUGGGAUAAGGUAUCAUAGAGGGUGAGAAUCCCGUAUAUACCAACCGUAGGGAUGUUAUUAAAUACGUUUCUAAGAGUCGAGUUGUUUGGGAAUGCAGCUCUAAAUGGGUGGUAAAUUUCACCUAAUGCUAAAUAUAAGCGAGAGACCGAUAGCGAACAAGUACAGUGAUGGAAAGAUGAAAAGAACUUUGAAAAGAGAGUUAAAUAGUACGUGAAAUUGUUGAAAGGGAAACGAUUGAAGUCAGUCAUGCUGGUGGGAAUCAACUUAGGGGAAACUCUGGGUGCACUUCUUCGCUUGGCAGGUCAACGUCGAUUUUGGAUGUUAUAAAAUAAUUGGGGGAAGGUAGCUCCUUCGGGAGUGUUAUAGCCCUUGGUAGAUGUGAUGUCUGGGAUCGAGGAUUGCAACGGAUACCCUUCGGGGCUAACCGCCUGAUCUCUAAUUGGUGUUGGGUUACGGACAGCAUGCUGACCGUGAUCUAAUUACUGGUUAAAAGGUUAGAGCGUGUAUAAAUUCGUUAAGGACGCUGACGUAAUGGCUUUAAACGACCCGUCUUGAAACACGGACCAAGGAGUCUAACAUGUAUGCGAGUGUUAGGGUAUUAAACCCAGACGCGAAAUGAAAGUGAGUGUAGGUGGGAUCCUUUAUUGGAGCACCAUCGACCGAUCUUGAGAUUUAUCGAUAGAAUUGAGUUAGAGC
rnacentral:rRNA from 1 species